AUACGUAGGUGGCAAGCGUUGUCCGGAAUUAUUGGGCGUAAAGCGCGCGCAGGCGGGAAUGUAAGUCUGUCUUAAAAGUGCGGGGCUCAACCCCGUGAUGGGAUGGAAACUACAUUUCUUGAGUGCAGGAGAGGAAAGUGGAAUUCCCAGUGUAGCGGUGAAAUGCGUAGAUAUUGGGAGGAACACCAGUGGCGGAGGCGACUUUCUGGACUGUGUCUGACGCUGAGGCGCGAAAGCCAGGGGAGUGAACGGGAUUAGAUACCCCGGUAAUCCUGGCCGUAAACGAUGGGUACUAGGUGUAGGAGGUAUCGACCCAUUCUGUGCCGGAGUUAACGCAAUAAGUACCCCGCCUGGCGAGUACGGCCGCAAGGUUGAA
rnacentral:rRNA from 1 species